GACGAACGCUGGCGGCGUGCUUAACACAUGCAAGUCGAACGGAAAGGCCUCUUUCGGGGGGUACUCGAGUGGCGAACGGGUGAGUAACACGCGAGUAACCUGCCCUUGACUUUGGGAUAACUUCAGGAAACUGGGGCUAAUACCGGAUAGGAGCUCUUGUUGCAUGGUGGGGGUUGGAAAGUUUCGGCGGUUGGGGAUGGACUCGCGGCUUAUCAGCUUGUUGUUGGGGUAGUGGCUUACCAAGGCUUUGACGGGUAGCCGGCCUGAGAGGGUGAGCGGCCACAUUGGGACUGAGGUACGGCCCAGGUUCCUACGGGAGGGAGAAGUGGGGAAGAUUGAACGAUGGGUGGAAGCCUGAUGCAGCAGGGCCGUGUGCGGGAUGACGGCCUUAGGGUUGUAAAACGCUUUCGCUCAUGACGAAGCUUUGUGUGACGGUAGUGGGUAAAGAAGCACCGGCUAACUACGUG
rnacentral:rRNA from 1 species